GAUAUACAUGCAUACAGACAGAUACACAUACAUACAGACACACAUACAAACAGAUACACAUACAGACAGACAGAUACACACACAUACAGACACAUACAAACACACAUGCAAAAUGUCAUUUUUUUUUUAGUCACCCUCCUGUUUCCUACCUUUUAGGUGCAGGAGGAUGACUCCCCUGGGGUACAGUGGCUCAGGCUGAUGGGAGUCAGAGCUCCUACUCUAACCCCUUCCCGUCCUUCUCUCAUGUGGCGCUCUCUUCCUCCUCCCGCGCAGCUCAAAGAUUGCUAGGAAGUGACUGGGGCUGUCACUUCAUCCCAGCUCGACAUCAUCA